rnacentral:rRNA from 1 species
GGACGCCAGUCUGCAUGGAGCCGACCUUGAAAUACCACCCUUUAAUGUUUGAUGUUCUAACGUGGACCCGUGAUCCGGGUUGCGGACAGUGUCUGGUGGGUAGUUUGACUGGGGCGGUCUCCUCCUAAAGAGUAACGGAGGAGCACGAAGGUUGGCUAAUCCUGGUCGGACAUCAGGAGGUUAGUGCAAUGGCAUAAGCCAGCUUGACUGCGAGCGUGACGGCGCGAGCAGGUGCGAAAGCAGGUCAUAGUGAUCCGGUGGUUCUGAAUGGAAGGGCCAUCGCUCAACGGAUAAAAGGUACUCCGGGGAUAACAGGCUGAUACCGCCCAAGAGUUCAUAUCGACGGCGGUGUUUGGCACCUCGAUGUCGGCUCAUCACAUCCUGGGGCUGAAGUAGGUCCCAAGGGUAUGGCUGUUCGCCAUUUAAAGUGGUACGCGAGCUGGGUUUAGAACGUCGUGAGACAGUUCGGUCCCUAUCUGCCGUGGGCGCUGGAGAACUGAGGGGGGCUGCUCCUAGUACGAGAGGACCGGAGUGGACGCAUCACUGGUGUUCGGGUUGUCAUGCCAAUGGCACUGCCCGGUAGCUAAAUGCGGAAGAGAUAAGUGCUGAAAGCAUCUAAGCACGAAACUUGCCCCGA